rnacentral:rRNA from 1 species
UGGGGAAUCUUGGACAAUGGGGGCAACCCUGAUCCAGCCAUGCCGCGUGGACGAUGAAGGCCCUAGGGUUGUAAAGUCCUUUCACCGGUGAAGAUAAUGACGGUAGCCGGAGAAGAAGCCCCGGCUAACUCCGUGCCAGCAGCCGCGGUAAUACGGAGGGGGUUAGCGUUGUUCGGAAUUACUGGGCGUAAAGCGCACGUAGGCGGACCAGAAAGUUGGGGGUGAAAUCCCGGGGGCUCAACCCCGGAACUGCCUCCAAAACUAUUGGUCUAGAGUUCGAGAGAGGUGAGUGGAAUUCCAAGUGUAGAGGUGAAAUUCGUAGAUAUUUGGAGGAACACCAGUGGCGAAGGCGGCUCACUGGCUCGAUACUGACGCUGAGGUGCGAAAGUGUGGGGAGCAAACAGGAGUUAGAUA